rnacentral:lncRNA from 1 species
AUGCCAGUCUGUGCCCUGAGCAGGCCAGGGAGCAGCCAGAGCAUUGCAUCCCACAGCCCCCACUGCCUACCCCUCCACAUGGUCCCUCCAGGCUGGGGCUGCCUGCUCCUCAGGAGCUUCAUCUUCCUCUGUGGCAUCAGUACUGGGGGCUUUGGCUCCAGGGACGACUUCUGCCUCCAAGGCCUCAGCAUUGGGAGAUUCCACCAUCCUGGGGACUCCAUCUGCAGGGGCUCCUUCCUCAGGGACUCCAGUCUGGGGGUCUCCAGUCUCAGUGGCUGCCUGUCCUGGGCUUUUCAACCCCAGGUCCUGCCUGGGCAUCUCUGUGCCCCCCCCCAGGUACAGCCCCAACCCCUGCCUGCUGCUCUAGUGGGGGCUGUCCUGCGGGACCCUUGUCCUGAGCAGGCAAGAGGACCUCAGGGGGGUCCAGCAGCUCGGAGGGAGCCAGCAGCCCAUCCCCAUUCAGGUCCUGCCUUGCCAGGGCUUGGUCCACCAGUGCAGUCACCUACAGGGAUGGGGAACAGGAUGAGGGCUCAGCCCAGGGGCCCAGUGGGGCAUGAGGAGCCAUCCCUGUGGGACCCACCAUGUCAGGGUCUGGCUGUCCCCCAGCCUGUGCCAGCACCGUGCCAAGUAACUGCAGCAGCUCCAGCCCAUCCAGGCGCCUGCUCUGGUCAUGGUCAUGGAGCACGAAAAGGUAGAGCAGGGCUGUGGGGCAUGGGGUGCUGUGGGGCAGGGGUCCCUGGCCCCACCAGCCCCUCUGCCCCCAUCAUCACCCCGGUGGCCUUACCCUGCUCCCGUGUCAUGGCCUCCACGUCCUGCUCCGGCGGCCCCAGGCUCCGCACUGCGCUCCACAGCAGCCUGGGGGGAGCAGGGCUGGGGUGGGGAGCACUGCACCUGCCUCCUGGCCAUGGCCCACCUUGCCCCACGGCCAGCUGGGCACUGUCCAUGCCCCCCACCCGGCGCUGUGCUCCCAGCCCCAGUGCGCAGCCCCGGGCCGUGGUGGGGGUCCUGGUGCUGUGGGGCUCCCCAGGGCAGGGACUCACAGCAGUGCAGGCGACUCCGGGCUCAGCGGGUCAGGAUACGGAUCCACGAUUGUGGCCACGGGGGGCUCAGGCCUGGCCAACAGACGGGGUGGGUUACCUGUGCCCCCGGGGGGCUGCCCACUCCGACCUGACACCCCCCACCCACGGCCCCUGC